GAUGAACGCUGGCGGCGUGCCUAAUACAUGCAAGUCGAGCGAACAGACGAGGAGCUUGCUCCUCUGACGUUAGCGGCGGACGGGUGAGUAACACGUGGAUAACCUACCUAUAAGACUGGGAUAACUUCGGGAAACCGGAGCUAAUACCGGAUAAUAUAUUGAACCGCAUGGUUCAAUAGUGAAAGACGGUUUUGCUGUCACUUAUAGAUGGAUCCGCGCCGCAUUAGCUAGUUGGUAAGGUAACGGCUUACCAAGGCAGCGAUGCGUAGCCGACCUGAGAGGGUGAUCGGCCACACUGGAACUGAGACACGGUCCAGACUCCUACGGGAGGCAGCAGUAGGGAAUCUUCCGCAAUGGGCGAAAGCCUGACGGAGCAACGCCGCGUGAGUGAUGAAGGUCUUUGGAUCGUAAAACUCUGUUAUUAGGGAAGAACAAAUGUGUAAGUAACUAUGCACGUCUUGACGGUACCUAAUCAGAAAGCCACGGCUAACUACGUG
rnacentral:rRNA from 1 species